rnacentral:lncRNA from 1 species
CCCUAGAACAAAUUCUUCUUUGGAAACUCAGAGAGAGCAUGGCCUUACUGACUCCUUGAGUUUGGACAUUUGGCCUCCAGAAUUGUGAAACAAUAGAUUUCCAUUGUUUUAAGCCCUCCAGAUUGUGGCACUUAGUUAAGGCAACCGUAGGAAAGUGAUACAGGGAUGGUGCUAGAAAUCAGCUUACUACAUCUAGCAAAAUUGCAGAUUCCUGAGCCCAUGCUCUCCUUACUGCUGCCACAAUAUGAUAUGAUGGUCUUUGUGGAAAGACCUAUUGAUUUUGAUGCAGGAAUUCAAGGGCCCACAAUCGCUGAUGCAGGAAUUCAAGGGAAGCAGUCUCUUUGGCCCAGCUCUGUUCCCCAUCUCCAGCAAUCUGUGCACCCUCCCCAGCACAAACUCUAUGGCUACAUUCUGACAUUUCCUCAGCCUCUUUGUUCUUCUCCCUUCCCUAC